CAGACUUAAGUUCUUAAACCCCAGUCGAAUUGAAUGGGUUUUAGAUGAAAGCAAAUAGUUUGGUGUGGAUUUCCUAAAAUUAAUCCUUUAUAGCCUGCACUAAAUGGUAGCAAUUUGAUAAAGAGGAAUGAGCUUGCCGUUUCUUUCAUUCACACCCACUUGAAUGGCCAAACAAAAUAUCUUAAGAACUAUAUGGCUCGUGUUUUAGACCAUUUGCUCACAUUAAAAGAAGUUGAUAAAAUGAACUGUCAUGAAAAUAAUAGAUGUCCUGUAUUUAAUGACUCUCUUCAAAAUGUGGACAGUUCUUCAAGCCUGGUCAUGGGUAAAUGGGGAUUUGUCGUACUUUUUAACUUGGGUGUAUGUAUAGAAGUUUUCAAAAUAUUUCAGAAUGAUUCCCUGCAAGUCUUUUAAUCACUUCCUCUACCAGUAUUUUAGGGAGGGCCUGCUCUCUGACUGACUGGCACAAAUCUAUGACGUGGAGCUAGAGCAGUGAACACAACAGUCUUUCAUAAAUCCCUUCUUAGUGAAAUGACAACGGAUACACAGAUGAAUGUGGAAUGCAAGAUCCUAAAAUGAGUAUUGAAAAAACAUGAAAUGGAUGGGGGAUAAAAUUAUCCUGGACACUUUUAAAUCAAGGCAACUCUAAUGAGAUGAUCCUGGCAAAGCUACCUGGGGAUAGUUUGGCUAUUUUCAUAUGUUGUAGGAAUCUCACUCCCUAAUAUUUACUCAAGUGAGUUGAACACUUAUGACCACACACAAGUCUGCACACAGAUAUGAAGAGCAGCUUUACUCAUAGCUGCCCAAACUUGGAAACAGCCAGAAUAGUCCCAUAGCAUGUGAAUAGAUUAGCAAAUUAUAAUACAGCUAUACAAUGGGACAUUAUUCAGUGAUAAGGAGAAAUGAGCUACAAAGCAACAAAAAGCCAUGGAGGAACUUUAAAUGCCUAGUAUGAGUGAAAGAAGCCAGUCGAAAAAGGCUUCACAGUCUAUAAUGCUGACACGUCCUGCUGGCAAAGGCAGAACAUUGGAGACGGAAGGGAUUCACGAGGGACUCUUUGCUUCACUGCUCUUUCUCUUCUUCGUAGACUCGUGCCAGUGCAUCAGACAGCACGUGCUCCCAGUUUUACUCACCCUAAGAAGUUUCCAAAUUAUCUAUCAAAUGUACGCAUUUUCAAGGAACAGAAAGAAAAAGGAAUUAAGGAAAAGGGAUCAAAUAGAAAAGUAGAGGAGUCGUUCACAAACCUACCGCACAGGCAUUUCAUUGUGAAAUACGGUGUUGUUUCUCCAUUUAGGCCUGUAUUGUACUUGGACCUAUUUUUUGUGGAGGAUGUUAGGUUUCUGUCUAGAUGCAUUUUCUUCAGUAACUUUUAUCAGCUCCAUAGCACAAGGAGAGCAAGUAUGUAGAAUGGGAAGAAGAGACACAGGGAAACCAUGCUGGAGGGUUUUGAGGUCCGUGAACCAGGAAACGAAGCUUUGAGUAGAGGGCUGUGGUGGGCUUUGUAAGAGGUGGCUGUUUUUCAGCUAUUUUGAAGCUGGAGUCAGUGGAGUUUUAUGGGGAUCCGGGUAAGAAGAACAGUCAAGAAAGUCAAGGUUCUAGGCCUGGCCAGUGUGUAAGCCGUGGGGCUCUUUGUCCAAGUGAAGAACACUGGACAAGCAGCGUUUCCUUGCGGAAGGUCCUGUUCUAGAAAUCGAGGGCAGUUUUGACGUGUCCUGUCUCAGGUUUCUAUUUCAGUAUCCAAUGAAAAAUAUCAAGUAUGAAAGUGGCCUCGGAGAGAGCUCGGGGGAAAACUUAAAUUUGGGAAAUGUCAGUGUAUAGGUGGGGUCUGAGGCCCUGCAACUCGGGUGGGUAGAUCAACAGAAUGACUGCAGAGAUAAAAGAGACCGAGAGGGAGUUGCCCCAGCAUUGAGGAGAAAUAGGAAGGGGGGGUGGGGAAUACCUUUUCCAGAGGAAGCCAGCAACUGUGUCAGAGUCUGCUGAAGAACUGAGAGAAAUAAACACUGAGAACCUACCA
rnacentral:lncRNA from 1 species